rnacentral:lncRNA from 1 species
CCGGGGUCAACUAACUCCUUAAUUAGGUCUAUCAUUGAGUUCAUUCCUUCUUCAGUAAUAUUUCAGUCAGACUUAAUACUUAAUAAUCUAACAACAACAGACAAACGAGAGUGCGAACACCCGUCAAACAAAGGAUGACUAGCAACAUGCAAUUGUUCAUAGAAUUUGCCUGUUUCUCUAUUAGGAACAUCUUCGACAUUUUUCCUAAAGUCGCCCCUGUGUUGCAUCCCAAAAGCAUCCUGGACCAUUUCUGUCAUUCUAGUAUCUUGAUAUUCAUUAUGCCAUGCAGAUCUACUACUUUCUCCAAC